CCUGUGAGAUGAGAUAAGUGUUCUUCCUGGAUUUAGGGAUUUAUGGAGGAGGUGACUGAGAGCCAGAGAGGUUAGGGAACUUGUCCAAGUUUACACAGCUGAGCCCAGAUUCAAACCCAGGGCCGAGGGUCACCAUGUCCUGGGCCAGCGGCCCUUUCGCCACCUUGUUGGCUUCUUCCAGGUGGCCCUCGGCCAGCCAGAAGCUGGUGGUGGUUCAGGGUGCCACUUUGUCUUCCUGGUGGUGGAGAGAUGACCGCUGUCAGCAUCCACAGGAGAGAGACCCACCCCGGGUCCCAGAAGGCUCCUCAUGCUGGCCCUGGACAGGCCCUUUUGGCCUGGAGAUCAUUCUCUUGGUAGAGAGCUGGUAUCCUGGGGUUGUCCCAGCUGGCAUUGUCUCCUAGGCCCUGGAGGAUCCAGCUCCAGAUUCAAAAAAGCAGCAAAACCAGACAAGUGACGCCAUGGCUGCCUCAGGACCAGCUGCAUUGACUAAUGACCCCCUGCCCUACACGGACCAGUCACGACCCUGAAAGAGCACACCUGGAAAGCUGAUGAAUAUUCUAUUAAGACCCUCUCCUGAGACCGCCGCUAAGAUUUACACCUGCAAGAGAGAGAUAAAUACGCUCAGGAUGAAGGACCCAGCGCCUGCUCUUCCCCAGGGGAGCCAUUCCCUUUCCUCUUCUUUCCUCUAAGGGACCCGGGAGCAAUGGGCAGCGGCAGCUUGUCCAUGGCUAACCCCCUGAACCUGUCUUCAAGACCCCCUUUUCUCUGACUUCUCAGUGAGCCCAAGCAGCCCUGCCUAUGCUCUCCUGUUGCUUCUUCUGUGACCUUCCUUGUUUCUCUGUCCUAAAUAUAUUUGUGGCCCUGACCGGUUUGGCUCAGUGGAUAGAGCGUCGGCCUGCGGACUCAGGGGUCCCAGGUUCGAUUCCGGUCAAGGGCAUGUACCUUGGUUGU